rnacentral:rRNA from 1 species
GACGAACGCUGGCGGCGUGCCUAAUACAUGCAAGUCGAACGCAGUGGGGACGGGUGAGUAACACGUGGGUAACCUCCCAUCAGAGGGGAUAACACUUGGCAACAGGUGCUAAACCGAUACUGAUGGAUGGACCCGCGGUGCAUUAGCUAGUUGGUGGGGUAACGGCUAACCAAGGCUACGAUGCAUAGCCGACCUGGUAGGGUGAUCGGCCACACUGGGACUGAGACACGGCCCAGACUCCGACGGGAGGCAGCAGUAGGGAAUCUUCGGCAAUGGACGAAAGUCUGACGGAGCAACGCCGCGUGAAUGAAGAAGGUUUUCGGAUCGUAAAGCUCUGUUGGUAGAGAAGCGGUAUCUAACCAGAAAGCCACGGCUAACUACGUGCCAGCCGCCGCGGUAAUUC